AGUGAACGCUGGCGGUAGGCCUAACACAUGCAAGUCGAACGGCAGCACAGUAAGAGCUUGCUCUUACGGGUGGCGAGUGGCGGACGGGUGAGGAAUACAUCGGAAUCUACUUUUUCGUGGGGGAUCACGUAGGGAAACUUACGCUAAUACCGCAUCCGCCCUACGGGUGAAAGCAGGGGAUCUUCGGACCUUGCGCGAUUGAAUGCGCCGAUGUCGGAUUAGCUAGUUGGCGGGGUAAAGGCCCACCAAGGCGGCGAUCCGUAGCUGGUCUGAGAGGAUGAUCAGCCACACUGGAACUGAGACACGGUCCAGACUCCUACGGGAGGCAGCAGUGGGGAAUAUUGGACAAUGGGCGCAAGCCUGAUCCAGCCAUACCGCGUGGGUGAAGAAGGCCUUCGGGUUGUAAAGCCCUUUUGUUGGGAAAGAAAAGCAGCAGGUUAAUACCCCGCUGUUCUGACGGUACCCAAAGAAUAAGCACCGGCUAACUUCGUG
rnacentral:rRNA from 1 species